rnacentral:rRNA from 1 species
AUUGAACGCUGGCGGCAGGCCUAACACAUGCAAGUCGAACGAGUGGCGCACGGGUGAGUAAUACAUCGGAACGUGUCCUAUCGUGGGGGAUAACUUAUCGAAAGAUCAGCUAAUACCGCAUACGAUUGGAGCGGCCGAUGCCCGAUUAGUUAGUUGGUGCGGUAAAGGCUAACCAAGGCGACGCUCGGUAGCUGGUCUGAGAGGACGUCCAGCCACGCGUGUACUGAGACACGGCCCAGACUCCUACGGGAGGCAGCAGGGGGGAAUUUUGGACAAUGGGGGCAACCCUGAUCCAUCCAUGCCGCGUGCAGGAUGAAGGUCUUCGGAUUGUAAACUGCUUUUGUCAGGGAAGCGGUACCUGAAGAAUAAGCACCGGCUAACUACGUGCCAGCAGCCGCGGUAAUAC